AGUGGACUGUUUUCUCGUAUGCAGGAGCAUUCUUCCAGUUGGGCACUGAGGAUAAAGCUGAUCCUGAGAUGGGCAGAGGGCCUGCCUUUGUGAAACUUCCAGUUUACUGGAGGAGACAGAUGGAUUUGUUGGGCAUCCACUCAACAAACUGAACAACCCCAGAUGAAGUUCCUGGUCUGACAUCACAUCUAGUGACACCUACAUUUUCACCUUGUGAAGCACCCUUCCCCUUCAGUUCUCAGGGUUGGGGGCUCUGUCACAGUCUCCCCCACACCUGUGUCUCCCUCUGCAACUGCAUUUGUAGCUCUCUGUUCACUCACUGCUCUCCCCCACCCAAAUGUGAAAUGCAGGACCCUGCCUGUAGUUGAUGCUGAGGAAAUUCAUCACACGACCUGCAUUUAUUAAGCCACCCGCUCUGUGUCAGGCCCUGGGACUAUUCUAGCAGCAGAUUGGAGCAGUGACUUAGGCAUCCAUGCCCUCAUGGAACCCACUCACUAGUUAAGGGUAGGGACAAAUAGUAAAGGAUUCAGUGAAAAGUGGGGGGAAGAAAAUGAAGCAGCAGAGGGGUCUAGGAGGCGUUGAGAGUGGUGUGGAGAAUAUUUUAAACAGAGUAGGGUAGAGGAGGAUUUGAGAAAGACAUUUAAAUAAAUAUCUGAAGGGAGGGAUGGAGGCAACCAUGUUUAUAACUUGGGGAAGAGCAUUCUAGGGAGAGGCAACAGCCAGUGCAAAGGCCCUGAGGUAGGAGAGUGAAUGAUGUGUGUGAGCAUCUGCAAGGAAUCCAGCAUGGCUGAUGUGGGGUGAACAAAGGGGUGAGGCAUAGUGAAUGAGGUCAGAGAAGUGAUGGGAGCCAGAUUACGUAGGACUUUAUAAAGAUGUUGGCUUUAACUCAGAAAGAUUUGGGAGCCAUUCUGGGUGACCAACCAUCCCACUUUGCCCAGACUGAGAAAGCUCCCAGAGCACAGGACUUUCAAUGCUAAGACCAGGAACGUCCACGGCAAACCAGAAUGAGGCAGUCAGCCUAGAGCCCUUGCAGGGUUUGUAGCGGAGCUAUGAUGCAAUCUGACUUGAGGAUCACUCUGGUUGCUGGAUAGACUCAAAGGACAAGAGCAGAAUCAGCGAGAUUAGUUGGGGACCACUAAUCCAGAUGAGGGAUAAAGGUGGCUCAGACCAGAGUGGUCACAGUGGAGGUGGAGAGAAGUGAUGAACUUCUCAGCAGAUGAUAAAGCAGAGCCAACUGGAAAUGUUUGAUGGAGAUGUGAGUGCCUGUCCCCUGCAUUGAUAGCCUGGCAGGUGACCUCCUGGCAGGUGACAUGCCCGGCUGCCAUGGAUGAGAUGAGGAGUAGGUGCUUCUCUGUCUUUCCUGGGGUUCUGCUCUGCCUCACCUCUUCCUUGCUGGAAGGGACCAAGAAAGAGUGACUACCUGUACCUCCUGAGCACCCUUCAGGAUGCUGUCAUUGUGGCCCUGUGCUGGGGAUGCAGACAAGGCAAGGCAUGCACCCCUUAUUACAGAUGGGGAAACAAAAGCUCAGAGAAUAAUAUGCCCCUGGGCACCCAGCAAGCUGAGUUAACACCCCUCAUUGGGUGUCAGGCUGGCCUGGGUUUCAGUGCCAACCUCAACGGAGUGUAACUCACCUGGGGCGCUGCUGAGCAAUCAUUUUCUCUUCUUUGAAAUGGAGACAGUGACUCCCAUGUCAGCUUCAUCAUCAUCACGAAUGAAGGAGACAGUGUGCAUGAAAGUGUCCAGCAUGGGGCCUGACACACAGUAGGCCCUCAGUAAUGUCAGUUUCCCUUUCUUUCCCUGGAUCCUUCUCCCAGCCUUCCUUAGUUAAAGGAUAUUCUUAAGGACAGUUUUCCCAGAGCCCAGCGGAGCCAUUCUGUUCAACCAAGUGGGGAAUAUUUACAUCUUCUUUUCUAAAGGCAAAUGAUUUCCUUCAGAUGCCGAAUUAGUUCCCAAGUGGCCUUCAGGCUGUCUUGUAAAUACAGAGAUACGAGUGUUAACGGAGACCCUAUUUGUCCAGCAAACCAGAACAGAGAUGCUUGAGGGCUGUAAAUAUCAGGACUGUGUUUCUCCCAGCGAGAAAUUUCUUUCACUCUUGCUCUCUCCCUCUUCAAACACUCAUUCUUCUGUUCAUUCACGAAUCCUUUCAACAAACACAUAUUGAGCACCUGUCAUGUGCCUGGCACUCUGCAGGGCACUGGGAAACCAGGCAGGAACAAGAGGGACAGGGUCCUGUCCUCAUGGCACUUAUAGUCCAGUGAUUAUGAGACAAGACACUUAAAUGUCAACCACCGUGCUUGGUGCAUAAGAAAAUGACAAUAGUAAUAAUAAUAGUUCAUAUUGCUUCUUUAACUGACAUCAUCUUUACCUGCAAUGAAACGCUCAGAUCUGAAGUGUGCUGUUCAGUCUAUUUUGACAGAUGUCUAGCAAGACAGACUAUUUAGUAGUCCCAGAAAUUUCUCUCAUGCUCCUUUCUGGUCUGUAAAACUUUUGAUCUCUCCAUCAAUCUGAAGGAGAGCCUUGCUGGGUAGAGUAUUCUUGGUUGUAGACUUUUCACUUUCAUCACUUUAAAUAUAUCAUAAUACUCUCUUCUGGAUUGCAGAAUUUCUGUUGAAAAAUCAGCCAAUAGCUUUAUGGGAGUUCCCUUGUAUGUUAUUUGCUGUUUUGCCUUUGCCACUUUUAAUAUUCUUUUGUCUUUAAUUUUUGUCAUUUCAUUUACAAUGUGUCUUUAUGCAUUCCUCUUUGGGUUCAUCCAGAAUAGGACUUUCUGAGCUUCCUAUACUAGGGUGGCUAUUUUCUUCCCCAAGUUAAGAAAGUUUUCAGCUAUUAUGUCUGCAAAUAUGUUCUCAGACCCUUUCUCUCUCUUCCUCUCUCUCUUCCUUCCAGGAUCCCUAUAAUGCAAAUAUUAAAAUGCACUUGAUGUUCCUUUGAACUGUCUUCUUGUUAUUCUUUUUUCUCUUUUCUGUUCAGUUUCAAUGAUUUCCACUACUCUGUCUUCCAGCUCACUGAUUCACUUCUUUGUAUCAUUUAGUUUACUGUUGAUUCCUUCUAAUGCAUUUUUCAUUUCAGUUAUUGUAUUUUUCAUCUCUGAUUGUUCUUUAUAUUUUCCAACUCUUAAAAACUAACGUCUCUUCGAAAUUCAACUUAUGGUUACCAAAGGGGAAACAUGGGGGGAGGGAUAAAUUGGGAGUUUGGGAUUAACAUAUACAUACUACUAUAUGCAAAACAGAUAGGAGUUCCCGUCAUAGCUCAGUGGUUAAUGAAUCCGACUAGGAACCACAAGGUUGUGGCUUCUAUUCCUGGCCUCACUCAUUGAGUUAAGGAUCUGGCGUUGCUGUGGCUGUGGCAUAGGCUGGCGGCUACAGCUCCAUUUAGACCCCUAUCCUGGGAACCUCCAUCUGCCACAGGUGCGGCCCUAGAAAAAAGACAAAAGACAAAAAAAUAAAAUAGAGUAAAAUAAAACAGAUAAGUAUCAAGAA
ensembl:lncRNA